rnacentral:rRNA from 1 species
AUUGAACGCUGCGGAAUGCUUUACACAUGCAAGUCGAACGGCAGCACGGACUUCGGUCUGGUGGCGAGUGGCGAACGGGUGAGUAAUACAUCGGAACGUGCCCAAUCGUGGGGGAUAACGUAGCGAAAGCUACGCUAAUACCGCAUACGAUCUAAGGAUGAAAGCGGGGGAUCGCAAGACCUCGCGCGAUUGGAGCGGCCGAUGGCAGAUUAGGUAGUUGGUGGGGUAAAGGCUCACCAAGCCGACGAUCUGUAGCUGGUCUGAGAGGACGACCAGCCACACUGGGACUGAGACACGGCCCAGACUCCUACGGGAGGCAGCAGUGGGGAAUUUUGGACAAUGGGCGAAAGCCUGAUCCAGCCAUUCCGCGUGCAGGAUGAAGGCCCUCGGGUUGUAAACUGCUUUUGUACGGAACGAAAAGGCUCUGGUUAAUACCUGGGGCUCAUGACGGUACCGUAAGAAUAAGCACCGGCUAACUGCGUGCCAGCCGCCGCGGUAUUAC